rnacentral:rRNA from 1 species
UACAGAGGGGGCAAGCGUUGUUCGGAAUUACUGGGCGUAAAGGGCGCGUAGGCGGCCUGUUAAGUCGGACGUGAAAUCCCUCGGCUCGACCGGGGAACUGCGUCCGAUACUGGCGGGCUUGAAUUCGGGAGAGGGAUGUGGAAUUCCAGGUGUAGCGGUGAAAUGCGUAGAUAUCUGGAGGAACACCGGUGGCGAAGGCGGCAUCCUGGACCGACAUUGACGCUGAGGCGCGAAAGCCAGGGGAGCAAACGGG